ACGCUCGACACCUACGGGAGGCAGCAGUUGGGAAUAUUGGACAAUGGAGGAAACUCUGAUCCAGUGACGCCGCGUGAAGGAAGAAGGUCUUCGGAUUGUAAACUUAUUUUGUCAGGGAAGAAAAAAUGACUGUACCUGAAGAAAAAGCACCGGCUAACUACGUGCCAACAGCCGCGGUAAUCUGAGCGGGCUGGCAAGGC
rnacentral:rRNA from 1 species